UUCCCGGUGGUGUAACGGUAGCACUGCAGAUUCUGGUUCUGUAUGUGGGGGUUCGAAUCCUCCCCGGGAAGCAA
rnacentral:tRNA from 1 species